CAUGUCCUGUCAUGAACUGUAGCCUUGUGAGACCGGCCUGGUCUUAGUUCAUGUCCUGUUCUCUCUGUAGACCUGCCUGGUCUUAGUACAGUUCCUGUUCUCUCUGUAGACCGGCCUGGUUUUAGUUCAGGUCCUGUUCUCUCUGUAGACCGGCCUUUAAGCUCACCAUGUCCAGUAUUCAGAAUUCAAAACAUUUAUUCACAAAUAUGUUAUUUUUUGCCAAGCGGAGCCAGCCAGUCCUAGCCUGGCGCCGCCCACCUACUUACUUCCGCUCAAUUUUCAUUUCACUUCAGUUUUAUACACACAAUGGCUGUGUCCCAAUUCCUAGGACGCAUCCUUCGAAGGCUGCAUUCGAAGGAUGCGUCGACGCCGUUUGCGUCACAGCGUCGCGCCAAGUGCUGUCCCAAUUCCAAGGGUCCUUCAAAUGCGGCCUACGAAUGCAGCCUUCUUUUCCCGGAUUUGAAGGAUGCAUCGGCUGUAUCCUUCACGGCCCAACGUAUCCCAAGAUCCUUCACGGCCCAACGUAUCCCUCCCAAGAUUCAUUGCGCAUUCAAUCAAUGGAGAUGGCGGAGAAUGGCGAUUUAAGUUCUGCAUUUAAAUGAUUGCAAGUAUCCAGGGUCAGGAGAAGGGGUAGGUGGGAAACCCGGUGCUGCCACUUGGCCCUGGUUUGUCCCCAUGGAUGAGGUAUUGGGACAGAGGCAUUCCACCAACCCCCCUGUCCUAAUUGCCUCCAUCUCUGAGAACACACCAGGGCCAAGUACAGCAGUGGUGGAUCAGGAGGUGGAGGACAAGGAUCAGGAGGAGGAAAGACAACGAGGGCCACGGUCCAGAAAGAGGGACGGAGAGGAAGACAUGUUCCAGAGUCGCUCACUAUCUUCCGAAAAGGACUCAAGACUCACCUGUUCAGAGUCCACCUCGACUGCAUAGCCACCCUCCCCCUUCUGGCCACCAUUGUACACUGUGUUGAAUUGUAUUGUAUUGUAUUAUUGUACUUAACUGUGUAGCAACUGCAGUAGCUGCUAUCAUGGCUGUAACACGGGGAAUUGGUUAGCCUAGCGAUUGUGGUACUUGCACUUGGUUCUAUGAACAUCCUUUCUGUACCGACAGCGAUAUAUUGAUGCACUUCUUCUGACAAAUGUACUUAUUGUAAGUCGCUUUGGAUAAAAGCGUCUGCUAAAUGCCCUAAAUGUAAAUGUAAAAUGUAAAUGUUCCAGUUAAUAAAGGAGGACAUGAGGCUACAAAGGGAGGCAGAGGAGAGAAGAGCCCAGGAGAGCAGGGAAUGAAUGGAUAGGUUUUUCUCAAUUUUGGAGCGUUUGGUGGACAAAUAACUUAUGGUCUGUUAUAUUUAACACAUUGUUUAUUAUUAUUUACAUAUUUAUUGAAAUUAACUUAUUUAACUAACUUUUUUGAUUAACUAUUUAUUAAAACCCUUAGACCUACUAACUUUUUUGUAUUGACUAAUGUAUUUGUAUAUAACUUAUAAAACAUAUAUACAACAAUACAACUAUUUACAACAAACAUUCAUGUGACUAUUUACAAUUAUUAUAAAACUACUAUAUACAAAAACAUAAUGAUCAAUAAUAAUUUUAGUUGUUUUCUUUUUUUCGCGCUGUCCGGUUUAACUUCUGUUUACUAACAGGUCAGUUCAGCUGUCAGGGUUGCUAGGUGACAGGAGCAGCGCGUGGUCACGCAAGUGAAAGGGCGGUAACGGUUUGUUACGUAAACCAGAAAUGCUCCGUAGGCUAGACCGUCCCAUUUCUUCGGCCUCUUCGGGAGUGUCCUUCGCGGUCUACGAAGGCCGCAUCCUUCGAAGGACGCGGUCUACGAAGGAUGCGUCCUAUGAAUUGGGACACAGCCUCUACCAUCAGUAGAUCACCCGUCGACGCCAUUUUGUUUUCAAGACUCGAUAAGUAGAUUGACGAACACAGAGAUUGUGACAUCCGUCAGCAACACACAAGCUCUGUGUUCGUCAAUCAACUUAUCGAGUCUGGAAAACAAAAUGGCGUCGACGGGUGAUCUAGUGUUUUUGAAAUGGUCAAACUUGA
rnacentral:lncRNA from 1 species